CCCCUACUAGCUCUGUUGGUAGAGCACAAGGCUCAUAAUCUCAGGGUAGUGGGCUCGUGUCCCACGUCGGGCG
rfam:Lepisosteus oculatus linkage group LG1, whole genome shotgun sequence.